UAGGGAAUCUUCCACAAUGGACGCAAGUCUGAUGGAGCAACGCCGCGUGAGUGAAGAAGGUCUUCGGACCGUAAAGCUCUGUUGUUGGUGAAGAAGGAUAGAGGUAGUAACUGGCCUUUAUUUGACGAUAAUCAACCAGAAAGUCACGGCUAACUACGUGCCAGCAGCCGCGGUAAUACGUAGGCGGCAAGCGUUGUCCGGAUUUAUUGGGCGUAAAGCGAGCGCAGGCGGAAGAAUAAGUCUGAUGUGAAAGCCCUCGGCUUAACCGAGGAAUUGCAUCGGAAACUGUUUUUCUUGAGUGCAGAAGAGGAGAGUAGAACUCCAUGUGUAGCGGUGGAAUGCGUAGAUAUAUGGAAGAAUACCAGUGGCGAAGGCGGCUCUCUGGUCUGCAACUGACGCUGAGGCUCGAAAGCAUGGGUAGCGAACAGGAUUAGAUACCCUGGUAGUCCAUGCCGUAAACGAUGAGUGCUAAGUGUUGGGAGGCUUCCGCCUCUCAGUGCUGCAGCUAACGCAUUAAGCACUCCGCCUGGGGGAGUACGACCGCAAGGUUGAAAC
rnacentral:rRNA from 1 species